rnacentral:rRNA from 1 species
GGCUCCUUGAUUUACACAUAUAAGGAGUCGGACCUGCCCAGUGAAAAGUUUAAACGGCCGCGGUACUCUGACCGUGCAAAGGUAGCAUAAUCACUUGCCUUAUAAUUGAAGGCUGGUAUGAAUGGUUUGACGAAAGCUUUCCUGUCUCCUUUCUGUUUUAUAGAAGUUAACUUUCAGGUGAAGAGGCCUGUGUAUAAUUGAAGGACGAGAAGACCCUGUCGAGCUUUAAGAGAAUAAGGAAAACUCUAUGAAUAUGGCAAAUAUAUUACCUUUUUUAUCUUUUGGUUGGGGCGACUAGGGAACAACUAAAGCUUCCCUUAUUUUUAAGACUACUUUGUUAGGAUCCAGCACAUAACUGCUGAGUGGAAGAAUUAGUUACCGCAGGGAUAACAGCAUAAUCCUUCUUGAGAGACCUAAUCGAAAGAAGGGGUUGUGACCUCGAUGUUGGACUAGGAUAUCCUGACGGUGCAGAAGCCUUCGAGGGUUGGUCUGUUCGACCAUUAAAAUCCUACG